GAACACUGAUUGCUUUUUACUGGGUGAGCUUUGAAUGGUGAAGCCGACCCUGCCGUGAAUGCCUGUGUUCGUGAGGACAGUCUUUAGCUUCUGAUCCCUUGAAGGUCAACACCAGAGUUGACCGCCAUCAAGUGGGUUCAGAGAGUGGAGGCUGGAGGGUGAUCUGAAGCAGUUCGUUGAGUCAUUUAACAAGCAUUUGUUGCCAGCUUUCUGAAAACAGCUUUCUAGCAGAAAGGAUAAUUAAGAAGCAGUGCGUGGUCUUUGUCUAAGAAAGACCAAAUGUUCUCCCACAAAAUAGCAUGAAAACAGCAAGCCUACCACCCGUCUUAUCUGAUACUUAUAAGAGGAGAGGAAUUAACUGUUUCAAAAGCUGACUUUAAUACAGAUUUCCCAGCUUUUCGGAUUUUUUUCAGCUGACCCGACUAUAUGGCGAAUGCAUCACAGCUGGUGCUGACAUAGAGCUAGGCAGCUAAUUUAAGGGAGGCACACUGGAGUUCCCUGGCUGCGAGGGCAAAAGAAAGCAAGUGGUGAAGGCCCGUGAUUCUCAUCUGACACUGAAUCAAGGCUAGAUCAAUCAAUGGAAAGGACCUUGAUAUACAAAGACAAGUUGAUUCAGAAUUAUGGAACCUGAGACAUAUCCCAGCUUUCCUGAGGGCAGAGCAUGCUUCUCCACCCUAUUGAUUUGGGGGCUUCAGAUGACUUGCUUUGACCAAUGGCAUGUGGGCAGAAGUGAUAGCAUGCCAGUUCCCAGAGGAGAACUGAAGAUCCAUUGCAAGUGUCCUCUUGUGCUCCUGUGCUGUGCAUGAGAAGAGCAUCACUCACAUAGCCACUCCAGAAUAAGAAUAUAGGUGCAGAAGACCUAACCCAACCCACAGUCUAGAGCCAAACCCAGCCAAAGAAUAAAAAUGCUCUAAACCCGCAAAGACAAAGGAUAAUAUUAAAAAAAAAAAAAAAAAAAAAGAAAAGAAGAGAAGAGAAAAAAUAGACAAGGUAGAUGAGAUUUACACAAAUUCUGGAAAGAUGGACAGUUUGUGCUGUCUUUGGAUGAGGGACAAAGUGUUUCAUUUGUAGUUUUAUGUAGGAUAAUUAGAUCACAUGGACUUUUAUUGAAUUGUACGUAAAGAUGAUGUGCGUCCAUGCAUGUGUUUGUGUGUGUGUGUAUUUGUGCUGGUUACCAAAGAAAUGGGUGUAGUGGAGAGCUUUAUUUUAUUUCAUUUUUUUGUUAUACUCAGAAUACCAUAACUCAAUAAAUAAUUGUGCAUAAUAAUAAUAAAACCCACAGAGAAUUAACAGUUGCAUCAUUAGACAUGUUACUUCUUUUCACAAUGAAAUCUUACUUGGUGAUAUUUUUCUAAAUUUCCCUGAGAGGCUAGAUGUUUAUAUAAAGUCAUGGCAAUGUUAAAGUGUAUAUUGUAUAUGAUGUAACAAAUGAGGCACUUAAUUUGAAUUUGUUUCCACAGAAUAAGCCAUUUGAUAUUUCUGUACUCUUUAUGGCAGAUUAGUUUUGCUUAUAGUAGAUUAUUACAUUCUUUCUGAGUCAUUAAGAGCUGUUACUGACGUGUACCAAACUGUGUUUUGAAGCAUUGCCAUUAUGUUUAAGCCAUAUAAUUUGUAGUUAAAACUAAAGGCAUGAAGCUUGUCAAAUACUGUUUUAUUUCAUAUUGAAAAAAGUAAGAAAAAUCUUCACUUCAAUGCUGAAUUAUUAUAAAGUAGAGCAAGCAGUGGAAAAAUUGCUAUUUAAAAAAGGAAAUGUUAUCUCAAUAUUUGCAAAGGCACUGUGGUAAAGUCUAUUAAUGCUUUUCUUUUCUGAUUAUUCUCUCCUUCCUGAGGACACAGGAAGAAUCUGGUCCCCAGGCCCCUUUGCGGUCAGGCAGGGCCAUGUGACUAUUUCUAGCCAGUGAAAUGUGAGUGAAACUGAUGCAUCUUGUUUCAGGCUGAAGCUUUUAAGAACAAGUAUGCCACUUCCAUUAUCUCCCUUCCUCUCUGGCAGUGACCACGAAGCUUGUUUAUUGAAAUGGCAGUACUCACAAAAUAAGCAGUCUGAGUGACCACAUGGAAAAAAGUAGCUCUGUAAAGACAUUUGACUGACAUCAGACUUUGUGCAUGUGAGAAAUAGAUUUUGUUGUUUAAGACGCUGUGGCUGUAACUAGUGACUAAAACAGUCAUGUAUUGUUAUGCAAAACCUGUGUCUAGAUUUUAACUUUAUUAAACAGAAACAUACUUAUUAGGACAGAGAGAGUCACUAUUUAAAGGCACCCGCAGGUAAAUAUUCUUUUAAUCAAAAAAUUGUUUAAAUGUGAAUAAACACCACUUGAUUUUUAACUGAUUAAUCAGAUCAUAAAGUUACAUGAUUAAAAAAUUAAGAGGUUGUGGGUGUGAACUUUACUCUUUGUUUUGUUCAAUAAUAGAACUCUGUCAUGUGCGUGUGUGUAUAUGUGUGUGUGUGUGUGUGUGUAGAGAGAGGCAAAUACUUAUAUGUAGUCAGAUAUUUUGAGCCAUUAAAUUGGACCAUAUGUGUGAGAACAAUUUGUAAGCUGAAAAGAAUCAUAAGAUACAAAGAAAUCAGCAGCACCAUUAUCAUCACCAUUAAAAUCUGGCUUCAUUAAGAGUCUCCGGGCUGGCCACGCACUUAGGAGGGGUCUACUCUGUUAUUCUAUUGGAUGAUUUAAUACGCUGGUAAUUCAGUCAAUUAACCGUAGUUGCUUGAACUACCUGGCACUGAGCAACCUAUUUAACAAAUGUGCAUGUUAAUUGACAGUUCAUUACUUUAACUGAUAGAGUAAGCUAUUUUGGUUUCACAUAGAUAUAGUUUUAGACAGUUACAAAUUAUUAUCUAAGAAGCUGAGCCCAUAUUCUAAACGCCAAGUCGGGCACUCCAAAGGUACCAUAGAGACUGGCAGUCGUUCUGCACAGAGGCAUGUGUUGUGUGUGUGUGGGUAUGUGUGUGUGUGUGAGCCUGUGUGUAUGUGUGUGUUCUCCCCCCAGUUUUUCAUAUAGCAUUUUUAAACAUUCUGACAUUAUUCUAAUCUCACUACUGUGACAGCAACUUCAAAACUAAGCAAUUUAACAAAUUUUACAGAAGCAAAAAGUACUAAAUCUAUGGCAUGGAUUCUGGCCUUCUGAGUUCAAGGCCAGAACAUUGUCCAUCAGACCACAGCUUCCUUUAGAGAAAAUAAAAAAACUAAAAACACCUCAAGGUUGUCAGCCAUUUUUUAAAAAUGUUACAUUUUGCUCUUUAACUUACCUGGAAUUAAUUAUUACGCUUAAUGUGUGAGAUAAAUCUAAAUUCAUAUUUUCUGUACGUUGUAAUAUACAGUCUUGAUUUUAUUUACAUAAAAACAUACAUUACUUUUCUGUCUUUUUAGAUUUCAAAACGCAUUUUCAAUCAGAUGGAAACAAAAGUUAAUUACAGGCAUUCACUAAUAAAUGUUACUAUAAUGGGAUGCUAACAUCAGGGUUCCUUGUAUUUCUUCUCUAUUUACUCCUAUGCCCCUAAUGUUAUCCUUGUCCUGAACUUCUUGCAGUUGAGGAAGCGCAUUUAUCUCCACAAUCCAUUGUUCAAAUUUGCAAUAAAUUCUUCAAAUCUUAAAGAAGCAACUGAAGAACAUGGAUUUUAGACUUAAGAUUUGAAUGCUAGUUUUACCAUUAAUUAGCUAAAUGAUCUUGGACAUGUUUCUUAACCAGGUUGAUCCUCAGUUUCCUCAUUUCUAUAGUGGAGUUAAAAUGUCUGCUUCAUAAGCAGUCCUGAGAAUUAAUUGAGAUAGUGUACUUAAGAUGGAUCAAUUAAUAUAAAUGAAAAUUAUGUUGCUUGCCUUCAGAGGCCUUAAAAUCCAUUUUUAGAAGGUGGAUUAUUUACAGGG
ensembl:lncRNA